GACGAACGCUGGCGGCGUGCUUAACACAUGCAAGUCGAACGAUGAAGCUAGAGCUUGCUCUGGUGGAUUAGUGGCGAACGGGUGAGUAACACGUGAGUAACCUGCCCCGAACUCUGGGAUAACUGCUGGAAACGGUAGCUAAUACUGGAUACGACCAACGAAGGCAUCUUCUGUUGGUGGAAAGAAUUUCGGUUCGGGAUGGACUCGCGGCCUAUCAGCUUGUUGGUGAGGUAACGGCUCACCAAGGCGACGACGGGUAGCCGGCCUGAGAGGGGGAUCGGCCACACGGGGACUGAGACACGGCCCAGACUCCUACGGGAGGCAGCAGUGGGGAAUAUUGCACAAUGGGCGCAAGCCUGAUGCAGCAACGCCGCGUGAGGGACGACGGCCUUCGGGUUGUAAACCUCUUUUAGUAGGGAAGAAGCGAAAGUGACGGUACCUGCAGAAAAAGCACCGGCUAACUACGUGCCAGCCGCCGCCGUAA
rnacentral:rRNA from 1 species